rnacentral:misc_RNA from 1 species
AAGUCGUAACAAGGUCUCCGUUGGUGAACCAGCGGAGGGAUCAUUACCGAGUUUACAACUCCCAAACCCAUGUGAACAUACCUACUGUUGCUUCGGCGGGAUUGCCCCGGGCGCCUCGUGUGCCCCGGAUCAGGCGCCCGCCUAGGAAACUCAACUCUUGUUUUAUUUUGGAAUCUUCUGAGUAGUUUUUACAAAUAAAUAAAAACUUUCAACAACGGAUCUCUUGGUUCUG